rnacentral:lncRNA from 1 species
CCAUUCCAUUGUCGAAGCUGAAGUUGUAGAUCCUCCUGAAAAUAAGUCCUGCAUAUAUUUAUAUAUAUCCAACUGAACUAUUAGUAGCAGAACUAAGAUAGAACUAUAAAGAAAUUAAAUUCACUAAGACUAUAUUAAAAACAAUUAUAAGGUUCAAUAACAAUCAUUGUUUCUUAUGACUCAGUCCCAAAUAAGUUGGGAUCAGCUAUAUGAAUUUUCAUGUCGAU